GUGCCUUGCCCUACUGGUUGGGUCGAUCCGAUUCCCGAGCAUGCCAUUCGUAUGGCACAAGCUCUUGGACGAGCGGUCCAUGUUGACGAUGUCUUUGCACAGACCCAUGUUCGGAAGGGCACUAAUGAAUUCGUUGAUGAAAGGUCUCGCAAGAC